GGGAGAAUAAUCAUACGGAGAACUUUAGUGUAAUAAAAGUCAAGUAUUAUGAAAAAAUAGCUACUCUCUCCGAUCCUAAUUAUAAGCAAAUUCGACUUUUUAGGUUCAUUCAAUUAAUGAUGUAUGUGGUCCAUAAUAUGAACCAAAUACAUUCUUAAUUGAAUGAACCUAAAAAGUCAAAUUUGCUUGUAAUUAGGAACUGAGGGAGUAUAUAUUAACAUUUAAACUAAAAGAACAUAUUAAAAUUCUCAUGAGGUCCAAGACCUUGAGAACUAGCCUGACAGCUUCAGCAGUCUACAUAUCAAGGUUAAAA
rnacentral:lncRNA from 1 species